CAGCACCUCAAGUGGUCAGGAUGAUUAUUGGGCCUAAAGCAUCCGUAGCCGGCGCUGUAAGUUUUCGGUUAAAUCUGUACGCUCGACGUACAGGCUGCCGGGAAUACUGCAGCGCUAGGGAGUGGGAGAGGUAGACGGUACUCGGUAGGAAGGGGUAAAAUCCUUUGAUCUAUUGAUGACCACCUGUGGCGAAGGCGGUCUACCAGAACACGUCCGACGGUGAGGGAUGAAAGCUGGGGGAGCAAACCGGAUUAGAGACCCGAGUAGUCC
rnacentral:rRNA from 1 species